CUGGUGUGAGGGAUGGUAGUAGUUGUUGCCCAUCUGGGAACUUCUUCUGGAAGCAUCUCCUUUUCAGUAGCUCACUAGGAGGUAUCAGGCAUUCAGAAAUAAUGCAAGGUCUGCAGUCCCUACUAAAUCCCCAGUAAGCUGUGAGAUUUCGGGUAUCUUCAGUUAAGCUGCCUGCUCCCCGAGGAAUCGCAAGCAUUGACCUUGAGGGAGAAGUUCCUUGAGCUCAGUGGAACAGAGUUCUCAAUGGUGUUCAUGUGCUCAUGAAGCUGCUCCAAUGUCACCGCUCUGUUCUAGUUAAGAGCUUCUGGGAAUCUAACAAGUAAGGAUAUCAUGAAUCAACUUUAAUGUGGAUUACCGUGGGAGGACAGCAGAUAGUUCUAAAGCAAGUAAAGAUCGGAAAGGAAAACAAUGCUGACCACGUGGACUUCAAUUUGGAUGAAAUAAAUGUCCAAGGAGAGGAUUUCAUCACUCACAAAUGACGCCUCCUUGUGAGAGAGCAAUAUCAAAGAAAAGGUUUAGGCACUUACCAGUUAAAUAUGGAAGUAUCUGACAAAUUACUUAGAGAUAAGAGCUUUAGAAGUACAGAAUAAUAUAUAUUUUCUCUCUCACCUUG